rnacentral:rRNA from 1 species
GCCUAUGGCCAUACCACCCUGAGAACACCCAAACUUGUCUGAUCUUGGAAGCUAAGCAGGGUCGGGCCUGGUUGGUACUUAGAUGGGAGACUGCCUGGGAAUACUGGGUGCUGUAGGCU